rnacentral:rRNA from 1 species
AUUGAACGCUAGCGGCAGGCUUUACACAUGCAAGUCGAACGAGUGGCGGACGGGUGAGUAAUGUCUGGGAACGUGCCCGAUGGAGGGGGAUACCUCCUUGAAAUGGUAGCUAAUACCGCAUACUAUCGGAUGUGCCAAGAUGGGAUUGGCUAGUUGGUGGGGUAACGGCUCACCUAGGCGACGAUCCCUAGCUGGUUUGAGAGGAUGACCAGCCAGACUGGAACUGAGACACGGUCCAGACUCCUACGGGAGGCAGCAGUGGGGAAUAUUGCACAAUGGGCGCAAGCCUGAUGCAGCCAUGCCGCGUGUAUGAAGAAGGCCUUCGGGUUGUAAAGUACUUUCAGCGAGGAGGCGUUACUCGCAGAAGAAGCACCGGCUAACUCCGUGCCAGCAGCCGCGGUAAUAC